rnacentral:snRNA from 1 species
GGACGAUCUGGCUGUGACAUCUGUCACCCCAUUGAUUGCCAGGGUUGAUUUGGCUGAUCUGACUCAUUAGUUGGGUGUCCCCGCUACGUACUUGGUUGAAGAAGACAGCCUUCCCCGAAUACAGACUGACUUGUCUUUGGUUGAGGGUAUACGAGUAGCUGUGCUCCCCUGCUAGAACCUCCAAAACAGGAAAGUGCUUGUAGCUAUUCAAAUCUGAGAGAAAGCACUUAUUUUAUUUUUUUAAAUUUGUUUUUAAUUCUUUUAAAAAAA